UUCUUCGGAUUGAUUCUUGGCUGACUGAGCGGCGGACGGGUGAGUAACGCGUGGGUGACCUGCCCCAUACCGGGGGAUAACAGCUGGAAACGGCUGCUAAUACCGCAUAAGCGCACAGAGCUGCAUGGCUCAGUGUGAAAAACUCCGGUGGUAUGGGAUGGGCCCGCGUCUGAUUAGGCAGUUGGCGGGGUAACGGCCCACCAAACCGACGAUCAGUAGCCGGCCUGAGAGGGCGACCGGCCACAUUGGGACUGAGACACGGCCCAAACUCCUACGGGAGGCAGCAGUGGGGAAUAUUGCACAAUGGGGGAAACCCUGAUGCAGCGACGCCGCGUGAGCGAAGAAGUAUUUCGGUAUGUAAAGCUCUAUCAGCAGGGAAGAUAAUGACGGUACCUGACUAAGAAGCCCCGGCUAACUACGUGCCAGCAGCCGCGGUAAUACGUAGGGGGCAAGCGUUAUCCGGAUUUACUGGGUGUAAAGGGAGCGUAGACGGCAAGGCAAGUCUGAUGUGAAAACCCAGGGCUUAACCCUGGGACUGCAUUGGAAACUGUCUGGCUCGAGUGCCGGAGAGGUAAGCGGAAUUCCUAGUGUAGCGGUGAAAUGCGUAGAUAUUAGGAAGAACACCAGUGGCGAAGGCGGCUUACUGGACGGUAACUGACGUUGAGGCUCGAAAGCGUGGGGAGCAAACAGGA
rnacentral:rRNA from 1 species